CUUUGCUUCCUCAUCGCCAAUCAAUCUCUGCUUUCUCAUCGCAACUCUGUGCAUGCGUAGCUUCACUUCGAAUCUCACUCUCUUCGUGUUUCGCAAGAUUAACUCUGCUCAGGUAAGCUUCACUUGGACUCUGCUUCACUUCAAAGGCACACUAUGAUCACUGCUCUUCUCACUUCACAUACUCAACUUAAAUAGGAGGGUCUUAGUAAUGGAAUAUAUUGAUGGAAUCCCAAUUCUAAAGCUUGGAGAUGAAAUAGCUAAAAGAGGCAUAAAUCCUGGUGGUAAGAUCGCAGCUGCGGCAAAGAGGUAAGCCCAUUGAUUACCUUAGAGAGUAUGAAGUCCUUUUCUGCCAAUUUUUUUCUUAUCAUAAUCCCCAUUUUUAUGCAAAAAGUUCAUAUCAUCUACUUUAAAUCCAUAACUUACUAGCUUAUAUCUUAGUUUCUUCUUUUAAGCUGUAAGACAUUUUGGGCAGUUUUAAUAUGUUAUUGUAGAAGUGUGAGAGAGGUAUUCAAACAUUGGUUGUUGAAACUUCACAUGACAGCCAAUCUAACAACUGGUUGGCAGUCCAAUGUAGUAUAAAAAUGAUAACAUAGUAAUCAAAAUGAUGAUAUAUUUAAAAAAAGUUUGAGAAUCCCACCAUGUUUAGUUUCUUGUGAUUCCAGCAUUUUGCUCUUAAAAAGUAUUUUAAUGUAAUUAACAAAACAAACGCAUGGAAUUAGAAUUGGAAUUAAAAAAAAAAGGUUUAAAAAUAAAUUUUUGAAAAAAAAGUUCAAUCCGCAAACCGCCCGCACAUCCGCGAACCCUAUCCGCACAAAUCGCAAACCGCAUUGCGGGCGGUUGCGGGUUGACUUUUUCCCAAACUGCAUACAUGUGGGCGGGUCCAAACCGAACCGCAAACCAUCCCAAACCGAACC